rnacentral:rRNA from 1 species
UACAGGGGGGGCAAGCGUUGGUUCGGAAUUACUGGGCGUAAAGGGUUCGUAGGUGGCCACUUAAGUCAGACGUGAAAUCCCUCAGCUUAACUGGGGAACUGCGUGUGAUACUGGAUGGCUUGGAUUUGGGAGAGGGAUGCGGAAUUCCAGGUGUAGCGGUGAAAUGGCGUAGAUAUCUGGAGGAACACCGGUGGCGAAGGCGGCAUCCUGGACCAAUAUUGACGCUGAGGAGCGAAAGCUAGGGGAGCGAACAGGAUUGAGA